rnacentral:rRNA from 1 species
AUGAAGCUGGAAUUGCUAGUAAUGGCAGGUCAGCAUACUGCCGUGAAUACGUUCCCGGGCCUUGUACACACCGCCCGUCACACCAUGAGAGUUGGAAAUACCCGAAGCCUGUGAGCUAACUUAAAGAGGCAGCAGUCGAAGGUAGAGCCAAUGGUUGGGGUGAAGUCGUAACAAGGUAUC